UUUUUGCAAAAAAAAAAAAAUCACACUCUCAACUAUCUCAAAACUUCUCUUAGUAGAUGAGGUGUGAAAGUGCCAUGAGCCAAUCAUUAAAUACGACUGAAAUAAAACAAAACCGGUUGCAAAUGCGAGCAAAAAGCAGGUUACCGGAGGACAUAGUAAAAAGUUUAUUCACUAGUGAACUGAAUUGAAAUUUACAUUUAACAAAAUCCCAAAAAAAAAUCACUUGAUUUUCUUAUUUGUGAUGGGUCCACUUACUUCUUUAGUACUCUGAUUAAAAAGAAUGUAUACACGGAGAAAAGGAAAAGGUAGUUGUAAGGAAAGUACGUGUCGAAUUAUCACUGUCCAUAACAAACGAUAACAAUAAACAACCAACAUCGACU
rnacentral:lncRNA from 1 species